rnacentral:rRNA from 1 species
GACGAACGCUGGCGGCGUGCUUAACACAUGCAAGUCGAACGGAAAGGCCCUGCUUUUGUGGGGUGCUCGAGUGGCGCACAGGUGAGUAAAACGUGAGUAACCUGCCCUUGACAUUGGGAUAACUUCAGGAAACUGGGGCUAUUACCGGAUAGGCGCUCCUGCUGCAUGGUGGGUGUUGGAAAGUUUCGGCGGUUGGGGAUGGACUCGCGGCUUAUCAGCUUGUUGGUGGGGUAGUGGCUUACCAAGGCUUUGACGGGUAGCCGGCCUGAGAGGGUGACCGGCCACAUUGGGACUGAGAUACGGCCCAGACUCCUACGGGAGGCAGCAGUGGGGAAUAUUGCACAAUGGGCGGAAGCCUGAUGCAGCAACGCCGCGUGCGGGAUGACGGCCUUCGGGUUGUAAACCGCUUUCGCCUGUGACGAAGCGUGAGUGACGGUAAUGGGUAAAGAAGCACCGGCUAACUACGUG